GUUCCUCCAACAAAGAUCGAAGUGAAUAAAGACUUCAGAAAGCAAGAGGAUAGCACGGAGAAUAGUUUUGGAUAUAAUAUUGGCUAUUCUAUUGGAUAUACCAUUGGAUGUGCUAUUAGAGAUAGAAAGGCAUUGAAAAAAGCCGGAUCUUUCUUCAAGGCAGUAUGGAAACCAGUCAAGAGAUCAGCGCAAAAGGUGUGGAAAAACAUGAAGACUGGACAAACUGAAUACGUUCAGUUUGAAUAAGGAUCUCUUUUUCUCCAUCAUUGAAUCAAGUAUAGGAUUUAUCUGCUUGAUUUCGUCCGAGUUCGUUUCGGAUUUUAGAAGAAAUUUAGAGAUUUUCAUCUCUACGCAGUGUACAUACACUGUUUUCUUUAUUUGUUAUGUUUAUUGUUUUGUUUGUGUUUGUUCGUUUUCAAUUUAAAAAAAAUUUAAAAAUUUGAAAUUUAAAAUAUAUUUCUUGAUUAAUGGAAUUGCUCACCUGUAUUGAGAAUGAUUUGAAUACUUCUAAUUAUAUGGACUUAACGACUGUGGCUUCCUCGAACUUGACUUUAUCUCGAUUAUGGCACUUUAACUCAAUUGUGACUUCCUUAAUUUUGACGUUAUCCCGAUUUUGACUAUAAUUUUAAUUAUAUCCCGAUUGUGACGUCUCGAUUAUUGAUUUUAACUGGAUUGUGACUUCACCAAUUUUGACUUCCAAUUGCGUCCUCUCGAACCUUGUCUUUACUUUGAUUGUGACUCUUCUAAUUUGAAUUUCUAAUUGUGUCUACCCGAUUUUUGGCUUUCGAUAAUUGUGUCCGUUGUUUGUUUUGUUGAUGAUGAAAUUAUUUGCCAAGUAUCAAUAAAUUCACCAAGUCGUGACAUUGAACCAAACAAAACAAGAAAAAGUAGACACGGUUUCGACAAAUAAAUAAAACAAGAUUUCUGAAAUAUUAAAAGAUACACAUCAUGAAAUGAUUACGGACCCUGAUCCUGAACUUCUAUGAUUAAGAAGCAUUCGGAGAGUUCGAGAGAAAGGACUUCAAAAAUUAUCGACAAGCAAACAACAUGGAUUCAUUCGAAUUACAUUGAAUUAAACGCGUGCAUAGUGCAGCUGCAAAAGAAAGGAAUUUUAAUCAAUCUAAGAAUGCUUCGGAAAGAUGUUCUCCACAGUUUUCCACAGUUCUGGCAUUGCAUCAA